rnacentral:rRNA from 1 species
UACGAAGGGGGGCUAGCGUUGCUCGGAAUGACUGGGCGUAAAGGGCGCGUAGGCGGUGGACACAGUCAGGCGUGAAAUUCCUGGGCUCAACCUGGGGGGCUGCGUUUGAUACGUGUUUUGCUAGAGUGGGGAAGAGGGUCGUGGAAUUCCCAGUGUAGAGGUGAAAUUCGUGAGAUAUUGGGAAGAACACCGGUGGCGAAGGCGGCGACCUGGUCCUUGACUGACGCUGAGGCGCGAAAGCGUGGGGAGCAAACAGG